ACAAAGAUAGCUACUAAAAAUGAAGAUGUUCGACACCUGGUAAAAGAAACUGCACCUCAUAAGGAAGAUAUCUUUGUACAGAGACCAAACACUGUCACAGAAGCGCCUUGUGAAUUGCAAAUACACAACUGGAAGGCUGGAAUGGAGCAUCUGGAAAGACUGGGGAAUAAAUCCCACUUCUUGAACUAAUCCUUUGACAUGGAAGGAGAAGGCUAAUUUCAAUGAGAGAAUAUCUUUGUACACUCAACUUCAAUACAACAUCCUGCUUCAGUCAAGCUUUCUUUAGAGAGCCC
rnacentral:lncRNA from 1 species